rnacentral:lncRNA from 10 species
UUACAGGCAUGAGCCACGGCGCCUGGCAUCAUGUAGUUUUUGAUCAGUCUCAUCAAAAGGCAGGUUGUCCAUGAUGGUAGUUCACAAGACCACAGUUAGCAAUCUGGAUCACCUGCUCAUAACUGUUAUACCUGUGCGACUAUCAUUAGUAUACCUAGAGUGGUUAUGCUUGUAAAAAGAUGUAUGUUAUUAUUGCCUAUUUUAUUGUAUUUAGUGGCCUAUGAAGUGGUCUGUCAUUUUUUUGAUGUUUCUCUAAUAAGUCCCCUUUUAAAAAUGUAAACAAAUGUCUUGUAAAGAAUUUUCCAUUAUUUUUUCUGGAGUUAUAUUUUGGAGAUUUUGAUCUUUAAGGAUUGAGAUUUUAGGGAUUUAAACUUUGGGGAUUUGGGUCUUUUGGGAAUUCAACAUUCAGGGCUAUGGGCUUUGGGACUGUAUCUUUCCAGGUUAUGGCCCGAACUCCUUAACAUCAUACUGAGAUUAUUAUUGGGUCAAUUUUCUGAUAGGAUAACAUGGUUCAUUUCAACACCCAGACUAGGUCAGCAUAAGACAAGUUCAAAAAUAAGAGGUGCCUGGAUUCUGUACACCAGCAAAUGGUGGUGCUAUUUUUCAGGUUGAAACUUCCCAGAGCUGAUCAUAAAUGUAUUUACACUUACUGGACAUUUAUGCAGCCGUUCCUGCCUGUUUAUUGUUCUGGGAAGUGCAGAAGGAAUGUUUAUGUAGAGGUUUCAGGAAUAGCAAAUGGAGUGGUUAGGCAAUGAAAGGUAUUCACUUGAAAAUGAGGCUGGGCUUGUCCUUCCAGAUUCUGCAGACAGGCGCUUGGUAGGCAACGCGGUUCACAAACCACUCAUCCUCUGCACCCCAACACACACUGGUUCUGCAUCUGAGGACUUUCCAGUCCAGAAAAACAACACUUUCCUUGGUCUACACUCUUUUCAGCUUACAAAAAAUGGUAUCGGUCCACGCACUCCCUCCUAAAACCCUAUUCUCUCUGCCCCAGAACUAAGUGCUUCUCCUCUUACCUCUCUGCUAUCCUUCUCUGGCUCCUUGGCUAGCUGUCUUCCUCUGACAUGCAAACCACCAAGCCAGCAGGGAAAAGCCUGCCCAUGGUGAAAGAGACCCAGCUCCCUCCAGCCAGGGGCCAGGUGCAUUACCCCCAACCCCAUGGCUUCUCAGCUCAGGGAGGGAGAGGAGGGAAAGGCAGUCCCAGCAGCAGUCAAGCUGGGUGGGAUAGAGGAAAUGGAGGGAAACGUGGGCCUGGCUGGCCCUUGUGACAGAUAAGAAGCACAAACACCCCCCAGCAGGCUCAGCAGCACUAGGCUUACAGCAGUGGCCUGUGCGGCACUCAGGUGGCUGAGCUUUGUACCAUCCUACGUACAAAGCUCAGCUCUGGCAGGCUCCAGGAGCCACAGAACCAGGUUCACAGAAAGAUUAAGGCUGCCCACCCCUGAGCAAGAAGCUGUAGUGACAGCGACUCCCUCAAAGAUGAGGGUGGUGGCAACAGUGGUAAAUGGCACCUACAGUGACUAUAAGGGAAAGGUGCUCCAGGUUCAAGGUGAGAGCCUCAGGCUGUGACAACAGUGCACAGUUAGUUCAUUGCAAGCUCCUUGAGCUGAGGUUCUUCUCUUAUGUUCAGGGCUGAGGCUCCAAGACCUAGCACAAUGCUUGGCACAUGGAGGAAGCUCCAUGGACAGUUCUUGGAAAAAAUGAAUGAAUAGCACUGAUGGAUGAACAAGAAGAUUUUAUGUCCCACAGGCAAAAUGCCUUAGUGCAUUGGCCUGGGGGUGCUGAGAUUUUGCAGGAGACUCUGCCCACGGUGGGGUGCCCUCACCCAGGCUGGUAGCUGGGGAUAAACUGGAGGAGCUCAUGGCCAUCUGUGAGUCUCCAUCCUGUCGAUCCUUGUGCCUGCCAGUGUCUGGUUCCUAGUGGAGGCUCAGUACAUAUUUCCCGAAUUGAAUAAAAAAUGCUUGUUUCAGACCUAUCUGUUUUGUAGUUUUGGUCUCCAAGUUUUUGAAAACAUGACCAAAAAGUAUCUGUCCACCUUUCCCCUAUGAUACCAUAAAAGACAGGCAAGUGCCACAUUCAUGGGCAGUUCCUCUCCUUGGCACGCCCAGUCCUGACCACAGCCCCAAGUCCUGGCCACGGCGCUCCCUGUAGAUAUGGCUCCUUCCCACAGUGUCUGCUGUAGGUAGUGAAUGUCAGGCAGGCACCCUCCCUCACAUCUCACCCAUCCCCAAGACUGUGAGAGUGAGUCAGUGUGGAGCAGGAAGAAUGUCAAACAGGGCUGCAUAGAGGCAGAAGCGUACAAUACCUUUCCUUGCCUUCAGCAGGGUCACAGCCAACACUUCUCUAACAAAAGACAGACCAACAAGAGAAAAGCAUAAUAAGCUUGGUGCGAUGGCUCACAUCUAUAAUCUCAGCACUUUGGGAGGCUGAGGCAAGAGGAUCACUUGAACACAGGAGUUGGAGGCCAGCCUGGGCAACAUAGCAAGACCACUGUCUCUACCAAAAAAUAAAAAAUAAAAAUUAGCCAGGCAUGGUGGUGCAUGCCUGUGGUUCCAGCUACUCAGGAGGCUAAGGCAGGAGGACUGCCUGAGCCCAGGAGUUUGAGACAGCAUUUUGUGAGUUGUGAUAAUGCCAUUGCACUCCAGUCUGAGUGACAGAAACAGACCUUUCGAGAAAAAAAAUUUAUUUCAUCAAAGCUUUAUGUGACAUGGGAGCCUUCAGAAUGAAGCCCAAAAGGCCCAAGGAAAGCUGUCCAUUAUUAUGCUUAGAUUUGAUGAGGGAUGGACAGUCACGUGGAAACAUGAUGAAAAGGGAAUGAUCUAACGCUAACAGGCUGAGUGGGAAAACUCAGCAAGGCCUGUCUGUUCAGAUUCUUUUUGGCCUCUCUGUGUGGCAAUCCUUCCUCCCAGCUAUAGAGCAGAGACCUUCUGGAAUGAAGAUCUUAUGAUCUACUUUCAGACAUGGCAGCUCAGAGAAUUUCUUUACAGCCAGCUCUUGCCCAGAAAGGUAGGAAAAGGGUAGAGUAAUACUUUCAGGAUUUAAGGCUGGCUUUGCAGGAGAGUUCUGAUUUCUAUGACUCGCCUUGGGAAGAGGAUUCCGCUUUCUUUGAAAGCUUCAGGGGAGGAAAAGAGGUGGAAGAUAGGAAGGCUGGAAAAGGUCAGAGGGCCUUGCUGCUGAGGCUGCGGCUGAGGCCUUCUGAGUAGCCAGUUUGCCAAAGCAUCAUACUAAAGACUAUUGUUUCCUGAGUCCCAACAGAUGCUGUUGUUAGAGACCAAAUACACCACCCCUAAAUAUGCUGGAAAAGUUACCCUUUCAAAGAGGAUUUACAUCUGUAAAGGAAAUCUCCAUUCCUGCACCAGGAAGAGAAGGAUGACUAAAUCCUUCGAGAUGUAUCUAUGGAGAAGAAAAUGAUAUUUCAGCCCAAAGUUUCAACUCCCUCUUGGAUCUACCCUAGAGAUUUGCUCAGCUCACUGUGUAACUCCCAUGGAUAUACAAGGUAUCCACGCUAUUUAAUAUUCAACUUGUUUGUUUUUCUCCUGUUGAUCUGUCUUGUGUUCCAGGGCAUCCCAGCUAAGAACUCAUGAAGGGUAGAGAGAAAACUGUUUUUCCUCUCUUUCAUUUUGGGGGGCUGUUCCCAGAGAUCAAAGAUGAGCCCUGCAAACUGGUGAGUCCUUUCAGAAGUCCUUUAUUUGGGCACCCCAAUUCCUUGUCCUCCAGCCCAGCUUCCUCCAAGAGAGGUCCUUCCUUAGGACUCUCAGUGCCAUCUCUUCCUGAUCUUGUCCUUCUCUUGAGAAAGUCUACCCUACUCCAGAGGCUGACCUAAGACUGGAAGCCCCCCUCUUCCCUGGACACCUGUAGGAUGCAUUCCAUGGUUCAGCUGGCUAGUCUCUGAGGUAGGCAGUCAGCACUUACUUGAGAGGGACUUUGGAUAGUCCAAGCAGGGCUUUGGCACUGCAAAUUCAAAUAAGAGUCCAGAGGAUGGGGCUCAGCCUGCAGGCUCUGCCCUGGGCUGUGUCUGUCAUAGAGGCUCCUCUGGCAGUAAGACCCAACACAAAAGCAUUGAAACUACCCCGUGCUAUGUCUUAGGCCAGGUCCUAUUCAUGGGGGAGGCAACCCCAUGCUGGUGUCUGUAGACAGAAGAGGGAAUUAAAGGAUUUCGGACCCUCUGUACUGCAGGAGCCAGGUCAGGAGAGGGGUCCCCUCUUCCAUCAUACAUAUCACUGAAAAUGAGUUGGAAGUAAAAGAAGAAUUCCUCUAUAUCACACAGUCAGAUCAGGAGGUCAUUACUUAAGUUAAAAACAAUUUUUAAAAAACAAAAUAAUCAUCAGAACAUGCACCUCCUUUAAAUAAAAGGCCCAUUAAGUGCCUUUCUAAUGUCCUGAUUGGAGCAUAAAUUGGGGCAUGUUAGGUCAGAUAAAAGUGACCUGUGUGAUAAAAUUAUACAUUAUGAUUACAUAUAUUAUAUUGUUUAUUUUCUGUUUCCUUCUUUUUCUCUUAGUGUUUUUUUUUCUUUUCUUUCUCUUUUCUUGCCUUGCCUUUGCCUUGACAGGGACACUUAGAGGAUUUGACAGGUCCAGCUACAUCAGAUCAUUGGAAUUGGCAUGAAAAAGAGCUUCUGGGCCUUACAUAGGUUUUUCCAAAGAGUGGGGAAACCCCAAGGAAUUCUGUAACCUUAAAAUAAACUGAGAUUCAUUAGUGCAGAAACACAGAAAGCUGUCUUCUGAGUCUCGGAAACUAAGAUUUUAGAUGAAGUUAAUUUUCUUAUAAAAGAAUACAAUAUUAUUGUAAAUAAUUUAGAGAUUGCAUAUAAGACAAAGAAGAAAAUAAAAUGAGCUAUAUCCGUUCCUCCAGCCAUCAACACCUUCCACAUUUGUGGCACAUCCUUUCAGGAUGUAUGUGUGUGUGUGGGAGGGGGGUGCUUACCUGUGUGUAGUAACUUCAUGUUAUACAUAUGCCUUUUUCCCUCAAGGGUGACCACUGUUGUUGCCCAGGCUGGAGUGCAAUGGCGCGAUCUUGGCUCACCACAACCUCUGCCUCCUGGAUUCAAGCGAUUCUGCUGCCUCAGCCUCCCAAGUAGCUGGGAUUACAGGUGCCCACUACCACACCUGGCUAAUUUUUUUGUAUUUUUAAUAGAAACAGGGUUUCACCAUGUUGGUCAGGCUGGUCUCGAACUCCUGAACUCAUGUGAUCUGCCCCCCCCUCACCCGCCCCUUGGCCUCCCAAAGUGCUAGGAUUACAGGCGUGGGCCAUGACCUGCUUUUUAUUAUCAAUCUAUAAUUAUAUGUAUUGUUCCUAUAUCAUUAAAUAUUCUCCUUUGAC